AUUGAACGCUGGCGGCAGGCUUAACACAUGCAAGUCGAGCGAGCGGCGGACUGGUGAGUAAUGUCUGGGAAACUGCCUGAUGGAGGGGGAUAACUACUGGAAACGGUAGCUAAUACCGCAUACCAUCAGAUGUGCCCCGAUGGGAUUAGCUAGUAGGUGGGGUAAGGGCUCACCUAGGCGACGAUACCGAGCUGGUCUGAGAGGAUGACCAGCCAACCGGGAACUGAGACACGGUCCAGACUCCUACGGGAGGCAGCAGUGGGGAAUAUUGCACAAUGGGCGAAAGCCUGAUGCAGCCAUGCCGCGUGGGUGAAGAAGGCCUUCGGGUUGUAAAGCACUUUCAGCGAGGAGGCGUUACUCGCAGAAGAAGCACCGGCUAACUCCGUGCCAGCCGCCGCGGUAAUAC
rnacentral:rRNA from 1 species